UACUCAGGAGAGUGGCAAUCACAUGUAAUUAGGUGUGAUUGAAACCUCUAAGAGUGGA
rnacentral:pre_miRNA from 1 species